UACGGGGGGAGCAAGCGUUGUUCGGAUUUACUGGGCGUAAAGGGCGCGUAGGCGGCCAGCACAAGUCAGUUGUGAAAUCUCCGAGCUUAACUCGGAAAGGUCAACUGAUACUGUGCGGCUAGAGUGCGGAAGGGGCAACUGGAAUUCUUGGUGUAGCGGUGAAAUGCGCAGAUAUCGGGAGGAACACCAAUGGCGAAGGCAGCUCGCUGGGACGUUACUGACGCUGAGACGCGAAAGCGUGGGGAGCAAACAGG
rnacentral:rRNA from 1 species